UCGAUCUCAAAUCAGGUAGGACUACCCGCUGAACUUAAGCAUAUCAAUAAGCGGAGGAAAAGAAACUAACAAGGAUUCCCCUAGUAACUGCGAGUGAAGCGGGAAGAGCUCAAAUUUAAAAUCUGGCGUGCCUCUGGUCGUCCGAGUUGUAGUCUAGAGAAGUGUUUUCCCGUGUUGGACCGUGUAUAAGUCUCUUGGA
rnacentral:rRNA from 1 species